ACGUAGUUAUCCCGUUCUGAAUCAUUUGCUUUUUUCAUACAAUGUUAUUAGAACCAAAUAACUAUAUAAUUAGAAUUAGACUAAACUACCAAAGGUACCUAUGAAAGAUGUAGUCGUUGACAAGAGUACUCAUGAAUUUAGAAAACAACCCGAAUAUCCACAAUUAUAUAGUUCAGUUUGUCAAAUGUAACCAAAAACGUUAGAAGGCUUUGUUUACAUGUCCUACUUGUCUAUUUCCUUUCUAACGAGGCAAGAGAGUUUUUUUAGGUGAAUUAUUUUUUUUUUUUUUUGGAUGUGUAUUUUAUUUACUUAAAUAAUAAAAAAUUAGUAACUCCUUCAAAUUCCAUUUAAACACAGAAUAGAGUAUAAAACUCAACCAUGCCUUAAUAGAGCAGUUUUUGAUCUUUUCCUUUAGCCAAACACAAUCUUCUUUGAACCCAUUCCUGUGAAUCCAUUCCCGUGAUGCCAUUCAUCUCCAAGUUCGCCUUCAAAGUUUAGGAUGGGGAGGUUGUAGUUGCUUCAAGGAACUUUGUACAGGAGUGGUCUCAUAGUCGAAGUCAUUGAAGAGAGAUAGCUACAAUGCAUAUUAUUUUAGAGAUAUAUCAUGGAGGAAAAUUUGAGAGAACAAAGGAUGGAAAAAUCGUGUAUGAAGGUGGUGAGAAAUCUGAAAUUCCAAGGGUUAACACUUUGAAUGGAUUUUUUAUUAAUGGUCUCCUUAGAGAUAUUGGAUACACUUUGGUCGGUAAACGCUACUGGUUAGUGUCUGGGAUGGAGGUUGAUGGUGGUCUCAAGCUAUUGAAAACUGAUAAGGACAUAAUAGAGUUGUAUGAAGUUGCAUUGAGCAAUGGAAAUAGGGUAUGUGUGUACACUGAGCACCCAAUCAACUUACCAGAAGUUGUUGAAGAGGAUGAUCAAGCUUCAAAAUAGGCACCUAUAAGUAAAGAAGGUGGUAUUGUGAUUCCCUCAAAGGUGAGGCUAAAGAGCUAUGCAAGGAGGACUCCAACUCCUAAAAAAAUGAAGGUUAUGAAACAAGCCAGCACAUCUGAUCAGCCCAAUACCCAACCCAUUAUACACCUUAGUAGCAGGUCCAAUAAGCAGUCCAUGAACUAGUCCAAUACACAACCAAAAAGAUCAUUACCACAGUACACAUAUUUUCUUAGCCAACCCCAUCAUGAGCCCAAGAAUCCUAGAAAGCAAUAUACCCAGAAGAGGCAACAUUCACAGCCAAAUACAACCAAAAAAGCAGCAAACUCCAAUUAUCCCUGUCCAAACUCAGCAGACACACUAAGCCACAAAUAGUUCAAAACACAAUUCCAAUUUUGAGCCUUUUCAUGUUGUAACAGCCAAUACACCAGAAAUUUUAACACAAUAUAUACCUCAGUCUUAUAAUGAAUCCCAAAGUGAUCCCAACCAUGUAGAAGAGUUUGAGUCUCUCACUCAGCCCCAACCACCAUCAGCAAGUCAAAAUAUAGAACAAGAGCAGGAUCCAUCCGAGUAGGGAAUAAGACAAGUGCCUAAAAAAUAAAAUAGGAAGAGCACAACCAGACCUGAACCUACUGGACAAUCCUUCAUUCAGAACUCAGAUCCUAACAAGGCUUCAAGAAUUUUUGUGCCAAUAGAUGAUGUUGAAGACUAUUCAGGUGAGGAUCCCGGGUUACAUUGUCAUGAGUUUGAGGAGCUUCACAACUGUGCAGAUUCUGAUGAAGAGCAACCAGAUGUGUUUCCACAAGAUAAUGUUGAUGCACCAGUUUCAGAAGUUAGGCUUGAAGUGGGAAUGGAGUUUGAAACUUAAGAAAAUUUAAAAAGGCUGUGAGGAAGUUCAACAUUAACUUAGGCAGGAGUAUAUUUUUUCCUAGAGUUGAUAGUAUAGGGGUGAAGGUGCUUUGUUGAGAUGAGAACUGUCCUUGGUAGAUAUUUUGUGCUAAGAGGAGUUACCCCAUGAACUAUCAAGUGAAAACAUUUGUGAAUGAGCACACAUGUUGUAGAGUUGUGCAUGACAGGUCUGCUGAUGGUAAGUGAGCAGUUGAUGAGUUGGAACAGCAAAUUAGGGUGCAUCCAGCAAUGACUAUAAAGGAAGCUGAAGAUUAUUUUAAGAGUAUGAUGUACUGCUGAAUGACAGAAAAAUUUAUAGAUCCAUGACAAAGGCAAAAGAUAGAAUUGAAAGAAGUGAGAGAGCACAAUAUGCAAGACUUCGAGAUUAUGGCAUGAAAAUCUUGAAAAUCAAUCCGGGAUCUAUAGUAGAUAAAUGCACUAGACAAAUGCCAGACUCGACUUUGUUGUUCAGAAGAAUUUGUAUUUUUCUGGAUGUUUGUAAUAAGGGAUUCUUAGCUGGAUGCAGACCAUUUAUUAACUUGGAUAAGACCUUCUUGACAUUCAUGCUCAUUGAGUCAUCUGAUUAAAGCCCUUGACAAACCUUGUCAUCCACCCUCAAUUUCAUCAACCCAUACAAAGUAAUUACAGUNNNACCAAAAAAAAAAAAAAAUUAGAGUUA